rnacentral:rRNA from 1 species
AUACGUAGGGUGCAAGCGUUAAUCGGAAUUACUGGGCGUAAAGCGUGCGCAGGCGGUUUUGUAAGACAGAGGGGAAAUCCCCGGGCUCAACCUGGGAACUGCCUUUGUGACUGCAAGGCUAGAGUACGGCAGAGGGGGAAGGAAUUCCGCGGGUAGCAAUGAAAUGCGUAGAUAUGCGGAGGAACACCGAUGGCGAAGGCAAUCCCCUGGGCCUGUACUGACGCUCAUGCACAAAAGCGUGGGGAGCAAACAGGAUUAGAUACCCUGGUAGUCCACGCCCUAAACGAUGUCAACUGGUUGUUGGGUCUUCAUUGACUCAGUAACGAAGCUAACGCGUGAAGUUGACCGCCUGGGGAGUACGGCCGCAAGGUUGAAACUUAAAGGAAUUGACGGGG